GCCUGGCACAGUGGUUGGAGCACUGGACUGCAACUCUGGAGACCAGGGUUGGAAUCCCGGCUCGGCC